rnacentral:tRNA from 1 species
GCAGAAGUAGCUCAAUUGGUAGAGCUCCAGCCUUCCAAGCUGGAGGUUGCGGGUUCGAGACCCGUCUUCUGCU